rnacentral:rRNA from 1 species
GCGGCCUAUCAGCUUGUUGGUGGGGUAAUGACCUACCAAGGCAACGACGGGUAGCUGGUCUGAGAGGAUGGUCAGCCACACUGGGACUGAGACACGGCCCAGACUCCUACGGGAGGCAGCAGUGGGGAAUCUUGCGCAAUGGGCGAAAGCCUGACGCAGCAACGCCGCGUGCGGGAAGAAGGCUUUCGGGCUGUAAACCGCUUUCAGCAGGAACGAAAAUGACGGUACCUGCAGAAGAAGGAGCGGCCAACUACGUGCCAGCAGCCGCGGUGACACGUAGGCUCCAAGCGUUGUCCGGAUUUAUUGGGCGUAAAGAGCUCGUAGGCGGUUUAGUAAGUCGGGUGUUAAAACUCUGGGCUCAACCCGGAGACGCCAUCCGAUACUACUAUAACUUGAGUUCAGGAGGGGAGACUGGAAUUCCU